AAAGUAGAUAUUGUCAUAUAUCAGUUCGGAGCACUUCGCAGACGUAGGAGGGGUUCUCUCUUAGGAUUGGGAGAAGGAGGAGGGCUCUCACGUAUGGGGGUUCUUGCCUCCUCCUGUGACCAGCCAGAGGCUAGGAUGGGGAUGAGGACCCCUUUCCCCACUGUCUGAUUCUGCCAGAGAUGGUUGGGUGACAAGACUGCAUUUCCCCUUUGGAGAGACUCCUUAGAAGAGUAUCUGAAGUUUCUCAAAGGUUCUGGACUGGGUCCAAGCGGCCGGAGCAACUGUCACACGCAGAGAGCAACCUUGGAUCCAAGGAGGAGCUGCCAGGGCAUGAUUUGUUCUGAGAAGAGGGGAGGAACUGAAGCCCCCCCCAAAGACUCAGCCCAUUGCGCUCUCAGAAAAAGCCAGAAAUGGCCCAAAUCCUCUUUACACCCCAACUCUUGAUUAAAAUUUGUUUCCACUUUUAAAAUAUCA